UACGAAGGAUGCAAGCGUUUUCCGGAUUUAUUGGGUUUAAAGGGUGCGUAGGCGGACUUAUAAGUCAGGGGUGAAAUCUCGUUGCUUAACAACGAACGUGCCAUUGAUACUGUAGGUCUUGAGUACAGAUGCCGUUGGCGGAAUGUGUCAUGUAGCGGUGAAAUGCAUAGAUAUGACACAGAACACCGAUUGCGAAGGCAGCUGACGAAACUGUAACUGACGCUGAGGCACGAAAGCGUGGGGAUCAAACAGG
rnacentral:rRNA from 1 species